UGGGGAAUUUUGGACAAUGGGGGAAACCCUGAUCCAGCCAUCCCGCGUGUGCGAUGAAGGCCUUCGGGUUGUAAAGCACUUUUGGCAGGAAAGAAACGUCAUGGGUUAAUACCCCGUGAAACUGACGGUACCUGCAGAAUAAGCACCGGCUAACUACGUGCCAGCAGCCGCGGUAAUACGUAGGGUGCAAGCGUUAAUCGGAAUUACUGGGCGUAAAGCGUGCGCAGGCGGUUCGGAAAGAAAGAUGUGAAAUCCCAGAGCUCAACUUUGGAACUGCAUGGUGAACUACCGGGCUAGAGUGCGUCAGAGGGAGGUGGAAUUCCGCGUGUAGCAGUGAAAUGCGUAGAUAUGCGGAGGAACACCGAUGGCGAAGGCAGCCUCCUGGGAUAACACUGACGCUCAUGCACGAAAGCGUGGGGAGCAAACAGG
rnacentral:rRNA from 1 species